rnacentral:rRNA from 1 species
UACGGGGGGGAGCAAGCGUUGUUCGGAUUUACUGGCGUAAAGGGCGCGUAGGCGGUCAGCACAAGUCAGUUGUGAAAUCUCCGGGCUUAACUCGGAAAGGUCAACUGAUACUGUGCGACUAGAGUGCAGAAGGGGCAACUGGAAUUCUCGGUGUAGCGGUGAAAUGCGUAGAUAUCGAGAGGAACACCUGCGGCGAAGGCGGGUUGCUGGGCUGACACUGACGCUGAUGCGCGAAAGCCAGGGGAGCGAACGGG